rnacentral:rRNA from 1 species
AGAGACAGCAGUCGCCACGGUAAUACGUAGGUCCCGAGCGUUGUCCGGAUUUAUUGGGCGUAAAGCGAGCGCAGGCGGUUAGAUAAGUCUGAAGUUAAAGGCUGUGGCUUAACCAUAGUACGCUUUGGAAACUGUUUAACUUGAGUGCAAGAGGGGAGAGUGGAAUUCCAUGUGUAGCGGUGAAAUGCGUAGAUAUAUGGAGGAACACCGGUGGCGAAAGCGGCUCUCUGGUCUGUAACUGACGCUGAGGCUCGAAAGCGUGGGGAGCGAACAGGAUUAGAUACCCCAGUAGUCCCUGUCUCUUAUACA